rnacentral:rRNA from 1 species
UUAAGUUAUUAAGGGCGCACGGUGGAUGCCUUGGCACUAGAAGCCGAUGAAGGACGUUACUAACGACGAUAUGCUUUGGGGAGCUGUAAGUAAGCUUUGAUCCAGAGAUUUCCGAAUGGGGAAACCCAGCAUGAGUUAUGUCAUGUUAUCGAUAUGUGAAUACAUAGCAUAUCAGAAGGCACACCCGGAGAACUGAAACAUCUUAGUACCCGGAGGAAGAGAAAGAAAAUUCGAUUCCCUUAGUAGCGGCGAGCGAAACGGGAAGAGCCCAAACCAACAAGCUUGCUUGUUGGGGUUGUAGGACACUCUAUACGGAGUUACAAAGGACGACAUUAGACGAAUCAUCUGGAAAGAUGAAUCAAAGAAGGUAAUAAUCCUGUAGUCGAAAAUGUUGUCUCUCUUGAGUGGAUCCUGAGUACGACGGAGCACGUGAAAUUCCGUCGGAAUCUGGGAGGACCAUCUCCUAAGGCUAAAUACUCUCUAGUGACCGAUAGUGAACCAGUACCGUGAGGGAAAGGUGAAAAGCACCCCGGAAGGGGAGUGAAAUAGAACCUGAAACCGUGUGCUUACAAGUAGUCAGAGCCCGUUAAUGGGUGAUGGCGUGCCUUUUGUAGAAUGAACCGGCGAGUUACGAUUUGAUGCAAGGUUAAGCAGUAAAUGUGGAGCCGUAGCGAAAGCGAGUCUGAAUAGGGCGUUUAGUAUUUGGUCGUAGACCCGAAACCAGGUGAUCUACCCUUGGUCAGGUUGAAGUUCAGGUAACACUGAAUGGAGGACCGAACCGACUUACGUUGAAAAGUGAGCGGAUGAACUGAGGGUAGCGGAGAAAUUCCAAUCGAACCUGGAGAUAGCUGGUUCUCUCCGAAAUAGCUUUAGGGCUAGCCUCAAGUGAUGAUUAUUGGAGGUAGAGCACUGUUUGGACGAGGGGCCCCUCUCGGGUUACCGAAUUCAGACAAACUCCGAAUGCCAAUUAAUUUAACUUGGGAGUCAGAACAUGGGUGAUAAGGUCCGUGUUCGAAAGGGAAACAGCCCAGACCACCAGCUAAGGUCCCAAAAUAUAUGUUAAGUGGAAAAGGAUGUGGCGUUGCCCAGACAACUAGGAUGUUGGCUUAGAAGCAGCCAUCAUUUAAAGAGUGCGUAAUAGCUCACUAGUCGAGUGACACUGCGCCGAAAAUGUACCGGGGCUAAACAUAUUACCGAAGCUGUGGAUUGUCCUUUGGACAAUGGUAGGAGAGCGUUCUAAGGGCGUUGAAGCAUGAUCGUAAGGACAUGUGGAGCGCUUAGAAGUGAGAAUGCCGGUGUGAGUAGCGAAAGACGGGUGAGAAUCCCGUCCACCGAUUGACUAAGGUUUCCAGAGGAAGGCUCGUCCGCUCUGGGUUAGUCGGGUCCUAAGCUGAGGCCGACAGGCGUAGGCGAUGGAUAACAGGUUGAUAUUCCUGUACCACCUAUAAUCGUUUUAAUCGAUGGGGGGACGCAGUAGGAUAGGCGAAGCGUGCGAUUGGAUUGCACGUCUAAGCAGUAAGGCUGAGUAUUAGGCAAAUCCGGUACUCGUUAAGGCUGAGCUGUGAUGGGGAGAAGACGUUGUGUCUUCGAGUCGUUGAUUUCACACUGCCGAGAAAAGCCUCUAGAUAGAAAAUAGGUGCCCGUACCGCAAACCGACACAGGUAGUCAAGAUGAGAAUUCUAAGGUGAGCGAGCGAACUCUCGUUAAGGAACUCGGCAAAAUGACCCCGUAACUUCGGGAGAAGGGGUGCUCUUUAGGGUUAACGCCCAGAAGAGCCGCAGUGAAUAGGCCCAAGCGACUGUUUAUCAAAAACACAGGUCUCUGCUAAACCGUAAGGUGAUGUAUAGGGGCUGACGCCUGCCCGGUGCUGGAAGGUUAAGAGGAGUGGUUAGCUUCUGCGAAGCUACGAAUCGAAGCCCCAGUAAACGGCGGCCGUAACUAUAACGGUCCUAAGGUAGCGAAAUUCCUUGUCGGGUAAGUUCCGACCCGCACGAAAGGCGUAACGAUUUGGGCACUGUCUCAACGAGAGACUCGGUGAAAUCAUAGUACCUGUGAAGAUGCAGGUUACCCGCGACAGGACGGAAAGACCCCGUGGAGCUUUACUGUAGCCUGAUAUUGAAAUUCGGCACAGCUUGUACAGGAUAGGUAGGAGCCUUUGAAACGUGAGCGCUAGCUUACGUGGAGGCGCUGGUGGGAUACUACCCUAGCUGUGUUGGCUUUCUAACCCGCACCACUUAUCGUGGUGGGAGACAGUGUCAGGCGGGCAGUUUGACUGGGGCGGUCGCCUCCUAAAAGGUAACGGAGGCGCUCAAAGGUUCCCUCAGAAUGGUUGGAAAUCAUUCAUAGAGUGUAAAGGCAUAAGGGAGCUUGACUGCGAGACCUACAAGUCGAGCAGGGUCGAAAGACGGACUUAGUGAUCCGGUGGUUCCGCAUGGAAGGGCCAUCGCUCAACGGAUAAAAGCUACCCCGGGGAUAACAGGCUUAUCUCCCCCAAGAGUUCACAUCGACGGGGAGGUUUGGCACCUCGAUGUCGGCUCAUCGCAUCCUGGGGCUGUAGUCGGUCCAAGGGUUGGGCUGUUCGCCCAUUAAAGCGGUACGCGAGCUGGGUUCAGAACGUCGUGAGACAGUUCGGUCCCUAUCCGUCGUGGGCGUAGGAAAUUUGAGAGGAGCUGUCCUUAGUACGAGAGGACCGGGAUGGACAUACCUCUGGUGUACCAGUUGUCGUGCCAACGGCAUAGCUGGGUAGCUAUGUGUGGACGGGAUAAGUGCUGAAAGCAUCUAAGCAUGAAGCCCCCCUCAAGAUGAGAUUUCCCAACUUCGGUUAUAAGAUCCCUCAAAGAUGAUGAGGUUAAUAGGUUCGAGGUGGAAGCAUGGUGACAUGUGGAGCUGACGAAUACUAAUCGAUCGAAGACUUAAUCAA